rnacentral:ncRNA from 1 species
AAGAAAGUAAUAAAGAGUACACGGGGGAUGCCUUGGCUCUCAGAGGCGAUGAAGGACGUGAUAAGCUGCGAUAAGCUUCGGGUAUUUGCAAAUAGGAAUUGAUCCGAAGAUUUCCGAAUGGGGCAACCCGGCAUGUUGAAGACAUGUCACAUAUAAUGAGCAAACCUGCCGAACUGAAACAUCUAAGUAAGCAGAGGAAGAGAAAAUAACAAUGAUUUCCUAAGUAGUGGCGAGCGAAAGGGAAAGAGCCCAAACCAGUCUUGUUACGGCAUGACUGGGGUUGUAGGACUGCAACAUGGCAUCAGCAAACAGAAGUGGAAUGGGAUGGGAAGCCCAGCGAUACACGGUGAUAGCCCGGUACACGUAUAGAAUGCUGGCCUAGCAGUAUCCUGAGUACCGCGAGGUCGGAGACGCCUUGUGGGAAUCUGCCGGCACCAUCCGGUAAGGCUAAAUACUCCUGAGAGACCGAUAGUGAACCAGUACCGUGAGGGAAAGGUGAAAAGAACCCCGAACAGGGGAGUGAAAUAGAACCUGAAACCGUGUACUUACAAGCGGUCGGAGCAUCCAAGUGGUGUGACGGCGUGCCUUUUGCAUAAUGAGCCUACGAGUUACUCCUCUCUGGCAAGGUUAAGUGCUUCAGGCACGGAUCCGAAGCGAAAGCGAGUCUGAAUAGGGCGUAUAGUCAGAGGGGGUAGACGCGAAACCUUGUGAUCUACCCAUGGACAGGUUGAAGGUGCGGUAACACGUACUGGAGGACCGAACCGAUAAACGUUGAAAAGUUUCCGGAUGAUCUGUGGGUAGGGGUGAAAGGCUAAUCAAACUGGGAAAUAGCUCGUACUCCCCGAAAUGUUUUUAGGAACAGCGUGGAUAUUAAGUUUCAUAGAGGUAGAGCUACUGAUUGGGUGCGGGGGAGUCAAAUCCUACCAAAUCCAGACAAACUCCGAAUGCUAUGAAAUAUGGUCUGCAGUGAGGCGCGGGGUGCUAAGGUCACGCGCCGAGAGGGAAAGAACCCAGACCAUCAGCUAAGGUCCCCAAGUGACAGUUAAGUUGAACUAACGAGGUCCGAUUGCACAGACAGCUAGGAUGUUGGCUUGGAAGCAGCCAUUCAUUUAAAGAGUGCGUAACAGCUCACUAGUCGAGCGAUCGGGCAUGGAUAAUAAACGGGCAUUAAACUGUUCACCGAAGCUAUGGGAUUGAAAUAUAUCGGUAGGGGAGCAUUCUAUAUACAGUGAAGGUAUCUGGUAAUGGGUGCUGGAGUGUAUAGAAAAGCAAAUGUAGGCAUAAGUAACGAUAAGGCGGGAGAGAAACCCGCCCACCGAAAGGAUAAGGUUUCCUGAUCAACGCUAAUCGGAUCAGGGUCAGUCGGGACCUAAGGAGAACCCGAAGGGGAAAUUCGAUGGACAACUGGUUAAUAUUCCAGUACUUUUUAUAACUGCGAUGUGGGGACGGAGUAGUGACACUGCCGCGAUCUGACGGAAUAGAUCGUUAAAGACAGUAGGUAUUAGAACGGUAGGCAAAUCCGCCGAUCUAGCUGAAAGUCGAUAGUACCGCGAGCCUUCGGGUAAGCGGAUAGCGCAGGUAAUCAGACUUCCAAGAAAAACCGCUAAGCUUCAGGUUAUAAAAACCCGUACCGCAAACCGACACAGGUAUCCGGGAAGAGGAUUCUAAGGUGCUCGAGUGAAUCAUGGCUAAGGAACUCGGCAAAAUGGCCCUGUAACUUCGGGAGAAGGGGCGCUUGCAGCAAUGUAAGCCGCAGUGAAAAGGCCCAGGCGACUGUUUAACAAAAACACAUGGCUUUGCAAAAUCGA